rnacentral:rRNA from 1 species
GAUGAACGCUAGCGGCAGGCUUAAUACAUGCAAGUCGAGGGGCAGCGCGGUAGCAAUACUGGCGGCGACCGGCGCACGGGUGCGUAACACGUAUGCAACCUACCUUCAACUGGAGGAUAGCCCGGGGAAACUCGGAUUAAUACUCCAUAACACAGGGAUCCCGCAUGGGAAUAUUGUUAAAGCUACGGCGGUUGAAGAUGGGCAUGCGUUCGAUUAGCUAGUUGGUGUAGGUAACGGCUCACCAAGGCUACGAUCGAUAGGGGGUCUGAGAGGAUGAUUCCCCACACUGGUACUGAGAUACGGACCAGACUCCUACGGGAGCAGCAGUAGGGAAUAUUGGUCAAUGGGCGCAAGCCUGAACCAGCCAUGCCGCGUGCAGGAAGAAGGCCCUCUGGGUUGUAAACUGCUUUUGAUAGGGAACAAAUGCCACUUGCGAGUGGAGCUGAGUGUACCUAUAGAAUAAGCACCGGCUAACUCCGUGCCAGCAGCCG